AAGAUCUCAGGGAAAGUGCUGGGGAGUGGCAAGAAAGUGACUCUGCACAAACAGCCUCUCCUCCCAUUAGCAAUUGCCAGGAGAAAAUCCAGCCAUGGGAGAGCAAAGCCCCCAGGAAUGGGACUUUCCCAGCCAGAGGAGCAGGGAGAGAGGACAGAGGAAGGAGAGACUGAGAGGGGCAGUGGGAGAAAUGAGUUUGGGGGAGACAUUUCCAGCUCUCUAGUCCACCCAGACACAGGUAUUGCAGCAUUCCUGGGCAGAACCACUUUCCAGUGAACAAGAAAAGGCUCAGACAGAGGAAAAGCUUGUUCUUGACUCCAUAUUCCCCCUGCUGGAGUGUGACUGCCGUGGGGCCGGUGGCCGAGGGAAUUCCCCACAGUGACUCCUUUGGUUCUGCUCUUUUCUAGCCUUGUGUUCCGAGACUUUGUUACGGGGUGAGGAGAGGGAGAAAGGAGGUUAAAAAUAUGUCUGUGCGCUUAGCCUGGCAGGAGGGGCCAGGUCUACACUGUAAUAAAGAGAUCAAGCAUUUCCCAGGAUGGCAGAUUCUAGGAUGUCUGUCUGCAGGGACGGGGCCCUGGAGAAUCGUCCUGUAAAAUUAACUAAAGCUUGUUCUGUAACCCCCACAACUGCCCUUCUCACCCUCCCAGGCUGCAGAAUGACGUCCAUGUUUCGCUCCAGCUCAUCCCAUCCUCCCAUGACACAGGGAAGAGAAAUGGCUCCAGAGGAGCCUGUUCAGAGGCCAGUGACCUUUGAGGAGGUGGCUGUGUAUUUCACCAGAGAAGAGUGGGCUCUGCUGGACCCUGUCCAAAGAGCUCUCUGCAGAGACGUCAUGCAGCAGAACUAUGAGAAUGUGACCUCACUGGCUCCCGGAGCCCAGAGUUCACAACAGAACAAAGAGAGGCAUCACAACAAAACAAGGAGAGGAGCCUUCACUUAAAAGGAUUAUGGGGAGUUCUUCUUUGAGUGCUUGCUCAUAUCAAUUCCAGUUAGGUGUGUGCACGCGCUGCGUGCACGUUCGUCGGAAGAUUUUUACCCUAGCAACACUCGGUGGGUCGGCUGGGUCGCCCUCUGGAGUGGCACCAUUAUGGCACCGGAUAUAUACCCCUGCCGACCCAACGGCCCCUCAGUUCCUUCUUACUGCCCGUGACGGUCGUUGGAACUGUGGAGCGCGGCUUUGCUGAUCUCCACUUCCCUAACUUACUCAUUGUUCUUUACUGUUAAUUGUCUUUAUAGUUGGAGUUUUUACAGUUGUAGUUAGUGUUAAUUGUUGUGUAUAUAUAUAGUUGUUGAGGGGGGAUCGGGGAUUAGCCCCUUUCCUCCACCCCGAUGCUGGGCUCAUGCCUAGGUCACCGGGAUUCAAACCGUGCUCGGCGUGCCAAAUUUCGAUGCCAAUAGGGGAUCCCCACGACUGCUGCCUCAAGUGCCUAGGGGAAUCCCGCCUUCCUGAAAAGUGCUGCAUCUGUAAGUCAUUUAAACCGAGGACGAAGAAGGAGCAGGACUUUCAACUGAAACAGCUCCUCGUGGAGGCGGCACUUAGCCCUGCGACAUCUGUACCAAGUGCUCAACAGCCUCCAUCUGUGAGGAGCGCUCCUUUGGCUCCGGUACCGCGAAGGAGCCACGGCACUGAACCCCACUGGCACCAAUGUCUGCUCGGCACCGCUCCCUGUCCCUGCGGCCCAGGAAGCAACACAGCGCUCCAGCUGCUUCGGCACACAGAAGGAGCGCCCGUUGACGAUGGAUCGCACAGCACUGUCAUCUGCUGCGGCACCACCGAGUGUGGCACUGCAGGGUGCGGCACUGUUGAUUCCAGUCCCGCAAGGGCUGUUGAGUCAGGUGCCCAAAAGCUCCCCAGCUCACGCUGUGGUCGAGCUCGCUCUCCCAUCCACGCCAGAGACCUCCACAGCGCAGGAAUUGAUCGCGAUGACGGAGACUGCGCUGCCUCAACCCCCACCACUGCUGGUGCGGGUCAUCCAAUCUAUUGGCAAGCCUGCCUUGCUGAGGCUGCCCUCCAUGGGAGCCACCAAGAGGCAUCGUUCAAGAUCUCGGUCCCGCCGACGAUCUUGGUCACGCCACUGAUCCCGAUCCCGACGCCGCUCGCAGUCCCCACACCGCUCUCCAUCGCGGUACCGGUCGCACUCGCAGCACUGCUCGGCCUCCCGUUCGCCUGCCAGAUACUCACAGUACCAAUCUGACUCCCGGCACUGUUCACGACACUGCGCAUCUCGCAGCCGCUCCAGGCGAAGGGACUUGAGAUCCCAGUCAACCUCCUGGCACCACUUCGGUUGUAGGUCCCAGUCUACCUCGCGGUACCGUUACAGCUCCCGGUACCAUCCCGAGAAAGACCAGCCCGAGAUGUGGCUCCCUCUCAGGGUCUAUCCGCACCGCCUUGGCCGUCGAGACACACCUCGGUGUCAUCACAGGCUGGUAGCAUUUCCUAUCCACAGGAUCGUGACUCGGAUGUCCCCAGCCAUAUGUUUCCUGAGAGCCAGAGCCAUGAGCAAGGACCUCAUCAGUGGUCUUUCUGGACACCAUGGGCGUACCACCAAGCCCAAGGUGUUCCUUUAGUUGCACCACGGUCUGCCCCAUCAGAACACUGGACACCAGAGGCAACCGUAAGCCGCUCCCCCCAGUGGGUACGGAUGAGGCUUCAGUGCCACCUGCAGACACCCAGGUCCCACCUGAGUCUGAUGCCGCUCCUAAGAAGAGGAGCCCCGACAGGACCCUCCUCUCCCUGGCCUCUCCUCUUCCUCCUCGCCAGACGGAGUUGUGGCAGGAACAUCCUCCUCUGGCCCUCAUCCAGUUGAGCUAAGGGCACAUCAAGACCUCUUGAGACGGGUGGCACAGAAUAUGAAUCUGCAAGUGGAGGAGGUCCCUGAAAUAGAGGACCCUGUAGUGGACAUCCUAUCUGCAGACGCACCUACUAGAGUGGCCCUGCUGUUUAUCUGCACUAUUCAAGCAAACGCAGACACCAUUUGGCAAUCCCCAGCCUCGAUCCCCCCCACAGUCAGGGGAGUAGAGAGAAAAUACAUGGUACCUUCCAAGGGGUAUGAGUAUCUCUACAUACACCCACCUACUUGCUCCCUAGUAGUUCAAUCAGUAAACGAGAGGGAGCGUCAUGGCCAGCAAGCUCCUGCUCCCAAGUCCAAGGAGGCUAGGCGCAUGGACCUCCUAGUCCGCAAAAUAUAUUCAGCCGGGGGUGUCAUAAACAGAUAGUUAAAGGUUAAUGUCUCUUUUACCUAUAAAGGGUUAACAAGCUCAGUGAACCUGGCUGACACCUGACCAAAGGACCAAUCAGGAGACAAGAUACUUUCAAAUCUCGGUGGAGAGAAGUCUUUGUUUAUGCUGCUUUCUUUUGUUCUCUGUUCUCUCUUGGAGCUAAGAGGGACCAGAUGUACAUACAGGCUCACCAAUCUCUGAAACAGGCUCUUCUGUUCAAUGUAGUAAGUACCAGUUAGAAAGGCGGUUUAGUCUUUUGAUUGUUUUCUUUAUUUGCAAAUGUGUAUUUUGCUGGAAGGAUUGUAUCUUUGUUUGCUGCCACUUGUAUUUGUGCUGAGGAGAGGAAUGUGUGCAUGCUACUGGACAACAUCACGGCAGAUGUAAAAGCCAAGACUAUAACAGGAUUCAAAAAGAGCUAAAUCAAUUCAUGGAGGAUAUGCUCUGAGCCAGGAGCUGGGAAUAGGUGACAGGGGAGAGAUCACUUGAUCAUCACCUGUUCUGUUCAUUCCCUCUGAAACACCUGGCUUUAGCCACUAUAGGAAGACAGGAAACUGGACUAGAUGGAUCCAGUCUGACCCAGUGUGGCCGUUCUUACAUUCUUAUGCUCCUUUCAUACAGAUGCCUGGGAUUCUGCCUCACAAUGUGUCCCUGAAGUCUCGGCCAAAUUGCCCCAGACAGGCAAACGCUCUGGGCUCCUGAAGUCUCUGCCCCCCACCUAGUGCCCUAUGGCUCAUCCCUGACCCUUGCUGCUGCUCCUUGCUACAGACUGUGAAAGGAGCAGAGGCAGCGCAGGAGCCUUCUGGGGACGCAGAGCUGAGGCUUUGAGAGAGACACAUUGUCUGAGACAUCAGGGUGCUGUAAACCAUGCAGCCACCCCCUCAAUCAGGGGCCUGUUCCAGCCCUGAGUCUGGGCUACCGCGAUCCCUCCCCCAGAGCAGGGUGCCCACAGAUUACAGCCUGAAAAUAGGCAUGUGACACUAACUCCUGCUUUCCCUGACAGGGCCUCCCCUAGCCCAAGUGGCAUCCCAGGCAAGAAGUGUCUUCAGUGCCUGCUCCCCAAUACAUUACACUUUGGAAUGCUUAUUUUUUAUUGCACUUGUAGCUCAGUUCAUGAUUUUGAUGCACAAUGUGGAUGCAUGAUUCUCUCUGUCAUAUCAGAUGAUAAAUUUGCAGGCUAGGAUCUGUAAACCUGUAUUUAUUCAUGCCAUGUAUAAGUGAAUAAAACAAAUUCAUUUCCUCUGAG